rnacentral:rRNA from 1 species
UACGUAGGGUGCGAGCGUUAAUCGGAAUUACUGGGCGUAAAGCGUGCGCAGGCGGUGAUGUAAGACAGGUGUGAAAUCCCCGGGCUCAACCUGGGAACUGCAUCCGAGACUGCAUUGCUAGAGUAUGGGAGAGGAAAGCGGAAUUUCUGGUGUAGCAGUGAAAUGCGUAGAUAUCAGAAGGAACAUCAGUGGCGAAGGCGGCUUUCUGGACCAAUACUGACGAUCAGGUGCGAAAGCGUGGGGAGCAAACAGG